CCUACGGGAGGCAGCAGUGAGGAAUAUUGGUCAAUGGGCGCGAGCCUGAACCAGCCAAGUCGCGUGAGGGAUGACGGUCCUACGGAUUGUAAACCUCUUUUGCCGGGGAGCAAGCGUGCGUUCGUGAACGCGCGUCGAGAGUACCCGGAGAAAAAGCAUCGGCUAACUCCGUGCCAGCAGCCGCGGUAAUACGGAGGAUGCGAGCGUUAUCCGGAUUUAUUGGGUUUAAAGGGUGCGUAGGCGGGAUGCCAAGUCAGCGGUAAAAAUGCGGUGCUCAACCGUAAAAUUGCAAUUGAUACUGGCAGCCUUGAGUACAGUUGAGGUAGGCGGAAUUCAUGGUGUAGCGGUGAAAUGCUUAGAUAUCACGAAGAACUCCGAUUGCGAAGGCAGCCUACUAAACUGCCACUGACAUUGAUGCUCGAAAGUGUGGGUAUCAAACAGGAUUAGAUACCCCUGUAGUC
rnacentral:rRNA from 1 species